GGAGAGAAAAGGAUGUCUGUUUUAUGGGCUGUAAAGCAAUGAGAGGGGGUUGUCAGUAAAAAGCAGCAAUGAAGAAGAAGAAGAAGAAGAAGAAGAAGAAGAAGCAGAUGAAGAUUUCCGGCUCCAUCUCUUCAACCGCAACAGUAAGAAGAGGAGGAGGAGAAGAAUGUGGGGUGCGUGUGUGUGUGAAGAGCUGUGGGUUGUUCUGCUGGCAAAACAAGGAAGGGAGGGAGUAAAGGAGGAAGAAAGUAACAGCUCUGUUUCAUUGAUGAGGAACAAACACCUUCGCCAACUAACUCCAAACAUGCUGUUUGAUCUUGGCUUGGGCUCCAUUACUAGGUUGGCAAUUGCUUCUUUUGGGACUAAAAGGGAGCAGUGGGGGGGUUGGGUUGGUCAGCUUGGAUUCUUGUUCUUGCUUUUGUUUUCUUCACCCUUUUUCUUUUAUGGGAUCACAUCAUCAAUUACAGUGCACUACAGCUGGUGUUGUCCAGCUUAAUCCCAGUUUUUAUUGGGCCUCAUAUGGCCCAACCAUCCAAUUUGUGAACCUUUAUUUUUGGCAAAA